UUUCCGUUGGUGAACCAGCGGAAGGAUCAUUACAGAGUUCAUGCCCUUCGGGGUAGACCUCCCACCCUGUUUAAUUACUAUUGUUGCUUUGGCAGGCUGCCCUCACCAUGGGGCGUCCGGGUUCCGCCCGCGUCUUGCCUGCCAGAAGCCCCCUAAUUCUGUGUUCAGUGUCGUCUGAGUACUAUAUAAUAAGUUAAAACUUUCAACAACGGAUCUCUUGGUUCUG
rnacentral:misc_RNA from 1 species